UGAGGGAUUUUGCGCAAUGGAGGAAACUCUGACGCAGCAACGCCGCGUGUGUGAUGAAGGUUUUCGGAUUGUAAAGCACUGUCAGUGGGGAAGAGGAAGGACGGUACCUGCUGAGGAAGCCUCGGCUAACUACGUGCCAGCAGCCGCGGUAAGACGUAGGGGGCGAGCGUUGUCCGGAAUUAUUGGGCGUAAAGAGCUCGUAGGCGGAUGUAAAAGUCGGUGAGUAAAUACCCUGGCUCAACUAGGGUGUCAUUGUCGAUACUGUACAUCUUGAGGACAGGAGAGGAGAGUGGAAUUCCCAGUGUAGCGGUGAAAUGCGUAGAUAUUGGGAGGAACACCAGUGGCGAAGGCGACUCUCUGGCCUGGUUCUGACGCUGAGGAGCGAAAGCGUGGGGAGCGAACGGG
rnacentral:rRNA from 1 species